AAUCAACGCUGGCGGCGUGCCUAACACAUGCAAGUCGAACGAGAAAGGGGACUUCGGGUCCCUGAGUACAGUGGCGCACGGGUGAGUAACACGUGACUUAUCUACCCUCGAGUGGGGAAUAACUUCGGGAAACCGAGGCUAAUACCGCAUAAUACCCACGGGUCAAAGGAGCAAUUCGCUUGAGGAGGAGGUCGCGGCCCGAUUAGUUAGUUGGCGGGGUAAUGGCCCCCACCAAGACGGUGAUCGGUAUCCGGCCUGAGAGGGCGCACGGACACACUGGAACUGAAACACGGUCCAGACUCCUACGGGAGGCAGCAGGUGGGGUAAUUUUGCGCAAUGGGGGAAACCCUGACGUAGCAACGCCGCGUGGAGGAUGAAGUCUCUUGGGACGUAAACUCCUUUCGAUCGGGACGAUUAUGACGGUACCGGAAGAAGAAGCCCCGACUAACUUCGUG
rnacentral:rRNA from 1 species